UACGGAGGGUGCGAGCGUUGUCCGGAAUCACUGGGCGUAAAGGGCGCGUAGGUGGCCCGGUCAGUUCGUGGUGAAAGCGCGGGGCUCAACCCUGCGUCGGCCAUGAAUACUGCCGCGGCUGGAGCACUGUAGAGGCAGGCGGAAUUCCGGGUGUAGCGGUGGAAUGCGUAGAGAUCCGGAAGAACACCGGUGGCGAAGGCGGCCUGCUGGGCAGUUGCUGACACUGAGGCGCGACAGCGUGGGGAGCAAACAGG
rnacentral:rRNA from 1 species